rnacentral:rRNA from 2 species
AGACCCGAAACCCGGUGAUCUAGCCAUGGGCAGGUUGAAGGUUGGGUAACACUAACUGGAGGACCGAACCGACUAAUGUUGAAAAAUUAGCGGAUGACCUGUGGCUGGGGGUGAAAGGCCAAUCAAACCGGGAGAUAGCUGGUUCUCCCCGAAAGCUAUUUAGGUAGCGCCUCGUGAAUUCAUCUCCGGGGGUAGAGCACUGUUUCGGCUAGGGGGCCAUCCCGGCUUACCAACCCGAUGCAAACUGCGAAUACCGGAGAAUGUUAUCACGGGAGACACACGGCGGGUGCUAACGUCCGUCGUGAAGAGGGAAACAACCCAGACCGCCAGCUAAGGUCCCAAAGUCAUGGUUAAGUGGGAAACGAUGUGGGAAGGCCCAGACAGCCAGGAUGUUGGCUUAGAAGCAGCCAUCAUUUAAAGAAAGCGUAAUAGCUCACUGGUCGAGUCGGCCUGCGCGGAAGAUGUAACGGGGCUAAACCAUGCACCGAAGCUGCGGCAGCGAACGUAUCACCCAAGACAACUUUACGGAGUUGACGAUUGACGGAGCGAAGCGACGUCAAAGCGUUCAUUAAAGUCGAGUUGGCUUAGGGAUACGUUCGUUGGGUAGGGGAGCGUUCUGUAAGCCUGUGAAGGUGUGUCGUGAGGCAUGCUGGAGGUAUCAGAAGUGCGAAUGCUGACAUAAGUAACGAUAAAGCGGGUGAAAAGCCCGCUCGCCGGAAGACCAAGGGUUCCUGUCCAACGUUAAUCGGGGCAGGGUGAGUCGACCCCUAAGGCGAGGCCGAAAGGCGUAGUCGAUGGGAAACGGGUUAAUAUUCCCGUACUUGGUGUUACUGCGAAGGGGGGACGGAGAAGGCUAUGUUGGCCGGGCGACGGUUGUCCCGGUUUAAGCGUGUAGGUGUGUGUUCCAGGUAAAUCCGGUUCACUUUAACACUGAGGCGUGACGACGAGGCACUACGGUGCUGAAGCAACAAAUGCCCUGCUUCCAGGAAAAGCCUCUAAGCAUCAGGUAACAUCAAAUCGUACCCCAAACCGACACAGGUGGUCAGGUAGAGAAUACCAAGGCGCUUGAGAGAACUCGGGUGAAGGAACUAGGCAAAAUGGUGCCGUAACUUCGGGAGAAGGCACGCUGACACGUAGGUGAAGUGAUUUACUCAUGGAGCUGAAGUCAGUCGAAGAUACCAGCUGGCUGCAACUGUUUAUUAAAAACACAGCACUGUGCAAACACGAAAGUGGACGUAUACGGUGUGACGCCUGCCCGGUGCCGGAAGGUUAAUUGAUGGGGUCAGCGCAAGCGAAGCUCCUGAUCGA